GUUUCUAUUGUACACCAAAUCUAUAUAUAACAAUAAUGAUAAUGAUGAAGUAUUUCACUUUUUAUACAAUUUAAGUUGUAAGCCCCACUGGAUUCUAAGGUCGACGGUUCGAUUCCUGUGAAUAAUACUUGUUGGGUGAGGCAAUCAUGAACCCUGAAAGGGAUUAGUUUCUUACUCAAAAAGGUGAGAGAAUAUUCAUGUUAAUACCAAAAAAACAUGCAGCUACUAUAUGAGUUUGGUACAGAUUAUUCCAUAUUGGCUCUUAGAAUCACCAUCACCAUUGCAUACAACAAGCAAUGAAGAAACAUUCACUUGACAGAUAUCUCAAACUGGAAAUUGGGUAAUCUAGGGACAGCAACAACAGGAACGUUCCAAGCAGCACUCACAAGUCUGAUAGCAACAGAAGCAGCUACAGAAUGCAAAGAAACUGAACCAAAUAGUUAAUUGAUUAGUGUGUGCUGAGUAACAAAGAGUGAAGUUUGGAGAAAUGAAAGAAAGAAAGUUGGAAACUUACAAAGCAUAGAGGGGUCCC
rnacentral:lncRNA from 1 species